rnacentral:rRNA from 1 species
AACGUAGGAGACAAACGUUAUCCGGAGUUACUGGGCGUAAAGGGCGUGUAGGCGGUUUGUUAAGUCUGGCGUGAAAGCUCUCGGCUAAACCGGGAGAGGUCGUUGGAUACUGGCAAACUAGAGGAUGGUAGAGGCGUGUCGAAUUCCGGGUGUAGUGGUGAAAUGCGUAGAGAUCCGGAGGAACACCAGUGGCGAAGGCGACACGCUUGGCCAUACCUGACGCUAAAGCGCGACAGCAUGGGGAGCAAACGGG